GACAGAGGGUGCAAACGUUGCUCGGAAUUACUGGGCGUAAAGCGCGUGUAGGCGGACUGAUAAGUCAGAUGUGAAAUCCCCGGGCUCAACUCGGGAACUGCAUUUGAAACUGCUAGUCUGGAGUGGUGGAGAGGAAAGCGGAAUUCCUGGUGUAGAGGUGAAAUUCGUAGAUAUCAGGAGGAACACCGGUGGCGAAGGCGGCUUUCUGGACACUAACUGACGCUGAGACGCGAAAGCGUGGGGAGCAAACAGG
rnacentral:rRNA from 1 species